rnacentral:rRNA from 1 species
AACGAACGCUGGCGGCAGGCUUAACACAUGCAAGUCGAGCGCCCCGCAAGGGUAGCGGCAGACGGGUGAGUAACGCGUGGGAAUCUACCCAUCUCUACGGAAUAACGCAUGGAAACGUGUGCUAAUACCGUAUACGUCCUUCGGGAGAAAGAUUUAUCGGAGAUGGAUGAGCCCGCGUUGGAUUAGCUAGUUGGUGGGGUAAAGGCCUACCAAGGCGACGAUCCAUAGCUGGUCUGAGAGGAUGAUCAGCCACACUGGGACUGAGACACGGCCCAGACUACUACGGGAGGCAGCAGUGGGGAAUAUUGGACAAUGGGCGCAAGCCUGAUCCAGCCAUGCCGCGUGAGUGAUGAAGGCCCUAGGGUUGUAAAGCUCUUUCACCGGUGAAGAUAAUGACGGUAACCGGAGAAGAAGCCCCGGCUAACUUCGUGCCAGCCGCCGCAGUAAUAC